ensembl:lncRNA
GUGGCCAUUGCCACUCGGCUGGACCCUCCGUGGGUCUGGGUGCCAGGAGGUCCCUGGCUGUGAGGCUGUCUCUGGGCUGACUCUCUCCCACCCUGAUCCUCUCCCAGGCCUCUCUUGGGUCUCUGCAUGAAUGUCACCCUCUCUCUGUUUGCUUUCUCUCCAUGCUGCUGACCCCCAGCCACCAUGCUGCCCCCUGCGACACUGCUCAGAGAUUUUUCUAAGGCCCAGAAUGGAAGUACUGCGAUUUCAUCUCUGCUGUUCUUUGCCGUGGCCCCAGGGCCUUGAAAGUGCCUGGCACACGGUGGUGUCCACGGUGAGGGAGGGCCUCGUGAUGGCUCCUCCCAGGCCCCCCGGGAAGGUAAAUGUUUGCAAGACACGAGGAGCUGGCAGGGCCACCACGCACCCUCGGCCUGUGGGCUGCCCCUCCUCACACAGAGGGCUGAAUGGUUCUUCUCUGCAAGCCUUUGAUUGAGUCGUGACCCGUGGAAAGUGCGCGAGUCCAGUGCACAGUGUGAUUGCUCACACGCGUGUGCCCAUGACCACCACCUGGGCCUCUGUAGCACACAUUUCCAGCACCGGCCGCUUCCUCCCAGCCCGCCCGGUGGGCACCAUGAGCUCACUGCUCUGACUGCCAGCCCCAGGGCUGUGCUGGCCCUUCCUUUGCCUGGAGCUUCCAGAGAUGGAACCCUUUGCGGUG